rnacentral:rRNA from 1 species
AGAGUUUGAUCCUGGCUCAGAUUGAACGCUGGCGGCAUGCUUUACACAUGCAAGUCGAACGCGGUCGGGGGGCAACUCCUGACUGAGUGGCGAACGGGUGAGUAAUACAUCGGAACGUACCCCGUUGUGGGGGAUAACCCACCGAAAGGUGGCUAAUACCGCAUACGCCCCGAGGGGGAAAGCGGGGGACCUGAGAGGGCCUCGCGCGAUGGGAGCGGCCGAUGUCGGAUUAGCUAGUAGGUUGGGUAAAGGCUGACCUAGGCGACGAUCCGUAGCUGGUCUGAGAGGAUGAUCAGCCACACUGGGACUGAGACACGGCCCAGACUCCUACGGGAGGCAGCAGUGGGGAAUUUUGGACAAUGGGGGCAACCCUGAUCCAGCCAUGCCGCGUGAGUGAAGAAGGCCUUCGGGUUGUAAAGCUCUUUCGGCCGGAACGAAAUCGCAUCUCCUAAUACGGGGUGUGGAUGACGGUACCGGAAGAAGAAGCACCGGCUAACUACGUGCCAGCAGCCGCGGUAAUACGUAGGGUGCGAGCGUUAAUCGGAAUUACUGGGCGUAAAGCGUGCGCAGGCGGCUCUUCAAGUCAGAUGUGAAAGCCCCGGGCUUAACCUGGGAACUGCGUUUGAAACUGGAGGGCUAGAGUGUGGCAGAGGGAGGUGGAAUUCCACGUAGCAGUGAAAUGCGUAGAGAUGUGGAGGAACACCGAUGGCGAAGGCAGCCUCCUGGGCCAACACUGACGCUCAGGCACGAAAGCGUGGGGAGCAAACAGGAUUAGAUACCCUAGUAGUCC